rnacentral:rRNA from 1 species
UGCACCCGUUCCCAUUCCGAACACGGCCGUGAAACGCCCCAGCGCCGAUGGUACUUCGUCUUAAGACGCGGGAGAGUAGGUCGCUGCCAGGU